UGGGGAAUAUUGGACAAUGGGCGCAAGCCUGAUCCAGCCAUGCCGCGUGAGUGAUGAAGGCCCUAGGGUUGUAAAGCUCUUUCACCGGUGAAGAUAAUGACGGUAACCGGAGAAGAAGCCCCGGCUAACUUCGUGCCAGCAGCCGCGGUAAUACGAAGGGGGCUAGCGUUGUUCGGAAUUACUGGGCGUAAAGCGCACGUAGGCGGACAUUUAAGUCAGGGGUGAAAUCCCGGGGCUCAACCCCGGAACUGCCUUUGAUACUGGGUGUCUAGAGUUCGAGAGAGGUGAGUGGAAUUCCGAGUGUAGAGGUGAAAUUCGUAGAUAUUCGGAGGAACACCAGUGGCGAAGGCGGCUCACUGGCUCGAUACUGACGCUGAGGUGCGAAAGCGUGGGGAGCAAAACAGGAUUAGAUACCCUGGUAGUCCACGCCGUAAACGAUGGAAGCCAGCUGUCGGCAAGUUUACUUGUCGGUGGCGCAGCUAACGCAUUAAGCUUCCCGCCUGGGGAGUACGGUCGCAAGAUUAAAAGCUUAAAGGGAAUUGACGGGGUCAUAGCUG
rnacentral:rRNA from 1 species